rnacentral:rRNA from 1 species
UACAGAGGUCCCAAGCGUUGUUCGGAUUCAUUGGGCGUAAAGGGUGCGUAGGCGGCGCGGUAAGUCGGGUGUGAAAUCUCGGAGCUUAACUCCGAAACUGCAUUCGAUACUGCGGUGCUUGAGGACUGGAGAGGAGACUGGAAUUUACGGUGUAGCAGUGAAAUGCGUAGAGAUCGUAAGGAAGACCAGUGGCGAAGGCGGGUCUCUGGACAGUUCCUGACACUGAGGCACGAAGGCCAGGGGAGCAAACGGG